UCCCCCGUGAGGGGGCAGUCUCGCCUGAUACGUGUAACAGGCAACGAGGGUUGCGUUCGUUACCCCACUGAAGGGAACGAUUCAAACCACGAACUGACGACAGCCAUGCAUCACCUGUCCUACACCCUCGAAGGCUUCCUAAGUUUCCUUAGGCGUGCAGUAGGAUUUCUAGUCUGGGUAAGGUUCUUCGCUUAGCGACGAAUUAAGCCACACGCUCCACCGCUUGUGCAAGCCCCCGUCUAUUCCUUUGAGUUUUAACCUUGCGGUCGUACUACCCAGGCGGUCAACUUAACGCGUUAGCUUCGCCACUCAGAGGGUCGAUACUCCGAAUAGCCAGUUGACAUGGUUUAGGGCGUGGACUAC
rnacentral:misc_RNA from 1 species